rnacentral:rRNA from 1 species
AGAGUUCGAUCCUGGCUCAGGAUGAACGCUGGCGGCGCGCCUAACACAUGCAAGUCGAACGGCACCUAUCUUCGGAUAGAAGCGAGUGGCGAACGGCUGAGUAACACGUGGAGAACCUGCCCCCUCCCCCGGGAUAGCCGCCCGAAAGGACGGGUAAUACCGGAUACCCCGGGGUGCCGCAUGGCACCCCGGCUAAAGCCCCGACGGGAGGGGAUGGCUCCGCGGCCCAUCAGGUAGACGGCGGGGUGACGGCCCACCGUGCCGACAACGGGUAGCCGGGUUGAGAGACCGACCGGCCAGAUUGGGACUGAGACACGGCCCAGACUCCUACGGGAGGCAGCAGUGGGGAAUCUUGCGCAAUGGGGGGAACCCUGACGCAGCGACGCCGCGUGCGGGACGGAGGCCUUCGGGUCGUAAACCGCUUUCAGCAGGGAAGAGUCAAGACUGUACCUGCAGAAGAAGCCCCGGCUAACUACGUGCCAGCAGCCGCGGUAAUACGUAGGGGGCGAGCGUUAUCCGGAUUCAUUGGGCGUAAAGCGCGCGUAGGCGGCCCGGCAGGCCGGGGGUCGAAGCGGGGGGCUCAACCCCCCGAAGCCCCCGGAACCUCCGCGGCUUGGGUCCGGUAGGGGAGGGUGGAACACCCGGUGUAGCGGUGGAAUGCGCAGAUAUCGGGUGGAACACCGGUGGCGAAGGCGGCCCUCUGGGCCGAGACCGACGCUGAGGCGCGAAAGCUGGGGGAGCGAACAGGAUUAGAUACCCUGGUAGUCCCAGCCGUAAACGAU